UCCGGUUUGUCACCGGCAGUCUCCUUAGAGUUCCCGGCAUUACCCGCUGGUAACUAGGGACAAGGGUUGCGCUCGUUGCGGGACUUAACCCAACAUCUCACGACACGAGCUGACGACCGCCAUGCAGCACCUGUGUUCCGGUUCCCUUUCGGGCACUCCUGCAUCUCUGCAGGAUUCCGGACAUGUCAAGGGUAGGUAAGGUUUUUCGCGUUGCAUCGAAUUAAACCACAUCAUCCACCGCUUGUGCGGGCCCCCGUCAAUUCCUUUGAGUUUUAAUCUUGCGACCGUACUCCCCAGGCGGAUGACUUCUCGCGUUAGCUGCGUUACUAAAGGAUUUAACUCCUCCAACAACUAGUCAUCAUCGUUUAGGGCGUGGACUAC
rnacentral:misc_RNA from 1 species